CGGUCGCACAUUGAAUGAUUUGUAAUUCACAGGAUCAUAAAACUUCAUAUUCCUCAUUUUGAAUGACUUUGAAGGAAUAUGAUGUAUCCACUGUAUGUUGAACAAAAAUCAUCCAAUUCAGAGAUGAACUUUAGAUCAUAAUAGAAUGGUAUUAGGCAGCUAAUUGAACAAUGGUAACACGAAUGAAUAGUAUGCAACUUAUGACGGAUUUUAAUAUCUCCCUUGUCCCAAACCGAAAAUCAUUCAAUUACUGUCUGAAGUAUCAGAUGAAAAGGGGAUGGUCAAAUGUCAAAACAAUCUUCCAAAUCUAAACGUAAACAUGGUGACGGCAGCGUGGUUUUCCAAGCGUUUCUGGGUGAAUUUUACAGGUCGCAAAUCUACAAGUAUUUGGAGUUCAUACAAUGUAUUCGGUAGGUUGGCAUCUGUUCCUGAAGACUGGUAAAUAAUAUAUUUGAUAACCUCGUUAAGGAAAUAAAUAACAAUGUACAUUCACCAACAAUGCUCUGAAGUUGUUUAUUUUUUAUUUGAAUUCUUUUAAAUUAUUAACUACAAUGGAAUAGGGUUGCUUACAUGCAUGUAUGAUGAUCAUUCAAUUUGAGGCAUCUAUUCGAAGGAUAAAAAUCAUUCCAAGACUGGAUGAUUUUCAUUCGGAGUGAUUUGUAAACAGAUGAUUUUCACGCAGAUGAAAAUCAUCUUGAUUGUGUCUGAAAAUAGGUAUGGGGCUCGGAUGAGUCAAUGAUCAUUCAAUGUGCGACCGGAGUUUUCGUUCAGUGUACCCAGCAAGACGCUCCAAA